rnacentral:rRNA from 1 species
AUUGAACGCUGGCGGCAGGCCUAACACAUGCAAGUCGGACGGUAGCACAGAGAGCUUGCUCUUGGGUGACGAGUGGCGGACGGGUGAGUAAUGUCUGGGGAUCUGCCCGAUAGAGGGGGAUAACCACUGGAAACGGUGGCUAAUACCGCAUAACGUCGCAAGACCAAAGAGGGGGACCUUCGGGCCUCUCACUAUCGGAUGAACCCAGAUGGGAUUAGCUAGUAGGCGGGGUAAUGGCCCACCUAGGCGACGAUCCCUAGCUGGUCUGGGAGGAUGACCGGCCAAACGGGAACGGAGACACGGUCCAGACUCCUACGGGAGGCAGCAGUGGGGAAUAUUGCACAAUGGGCGCAAGCCUGAUGCAGCCAUGCCGCGUGUAUGAAGAAGGCCUUCGGGUUGUAAAGUACUUUCAGCGGGGAGGAAGGCGGUGAGGUUAAUAACCUUGCCGAUUGACGUUACCCGCAGAAGAAGCACCGGCUAACUCCGUGCCAGCCGCCGCAGUAA